UAUACUAAUUAAGAGUAGUAUAAAUUAUAAAUAAUAAAAAUCAAAUUAAUAAUACAAAAAGUCCAUCAGUGCAAAGUACAUGUUGAUCCAUAAAGCAACAACAUAAAAUAACAACUUAUUUCAAACAUUCAAAAAAGCAACAACAUAAAGCAAAAAGUUGUUUCAAGCAUUCCAAAAAGCAACAUCAUAAAGUAACAAGUAGGUUCAAGCAUUACAAAAAGCAACAUCAUAAAGUAACAUGUAUUUUCAAGCAUUCCAAAAAUCAACUACAUAAAGUAACAGGUGAUUGCACUAGAACAUAACAAAUGUUGCUAUUUCUAUUAUGGAUUCGUUUAUGGUUGUGUAUGGGUUGUUUAACAUAUGAUCAGUAUGGUUCUAUACAUUAUUGGUUUGAAAUACAAUAAUUAUUUUUGUUGAUUCACCAUGAUUGUGUUGUGUUGAUUGUGGUUAGUGAUUAAAACUACCUAUAAUCAUUACUUAGUAAGAAUUGUGGGUGACGUUUCAUGUAUUUAUUUUGUUUGUCUCAAUUUAGUUGUCCUGAAUGAAUAUUUUGUAAUGUAAAAUUCAUUUUUAAUGUAAGGAACACAUUGGUUAAGUGAAAUUUUUGAAAUGUAGAAUUUACUGUUAAUGUAAGCUGAAGUAGAUAGAGAUUCGAUUGGACAGAAUCGGCUCAGUGUUGAUAUUUACAAGCAUGAAGUUGUCCUUUUGUGCUUUUGACUGAAUGAUAUAUAGUAUUUAUGCAAACGUAUUAACUUUUUG
rnacentral:lncRNA from 1 species